GGCCCUAUGGCGCAACGGUAGCGCGUUCGACUCCAGAUCACAGGUUAUCCGUUCAAAUCGGGUUGGGGUCA
rnacentral:tRNA from 1 species